AGCAGUAGAGAAUCUUGUGCAAUGCACGAAAGUAUGACACAGAGAGGACAUAUUUAUUUGAGCCCGUCAAAUUAAGUGCCAGCCGACGCGGUUAGACUUAAGGGCUGGUCUUUAUAAGUAAAAAGGCGUAAAGGAUGUGUAGGCCAAGAAAUUAUUAAAGAAGGUAAAUGGAAUUUUUCUGGAGCGGUAGAAUGUGAGGAUAGAAAAUAGAACAUCUAAGGUUAAAACUAUUUACCACAAAAUAGGCUGAAACAUGAAAGUGUGGGGAGCAAACAGGAUUAGAGACCCUGGUAGUCCACACUGUGAACUCUGAAGAUGAUGCUUAGCAGGCCCGAAAGGUAAAAUCUUCCGCCUGAGUAGUACGAUCGCAAGAUUAAAAUUCAAAAACUUUGGCUGUUCACUAUUUCGAUUAGAGGAGCGUGUAGUUUAAUUCGAUGGUCCGCGUGUUACCUUACCUCAGCUUGAAUCUAUGACCGGUAUUGCAUGGCCGUCGUAAGUCCGUGUGUUAAGCUAAAAGGGACUCAAUCCGGGCGUUUGCCCGAAGGAAGUCAGGUCUUAUGAUCCGAAUGUUGAGGGAUUAUAUGCGCUACAUUUUCUUAUAUAAUGAGAGACUUGAAAGGUAAGCCUCUAAAGUAAGAGUUCGGAAGGUCGUUGUAAAACGAUUGGAAGUUGGAUUUAAUAGUAAUCGGAAAGUAGAGCGUUCCGGUGAAUUGGUACAAGUGUUAGCACAAAUUGCCCGUCACCUUUACUUAGGAUGGUAAUUCGGACGCCUUCGGUGGUUACGAGUGCCUACGAGGUAAAGCAAGUCGUAACAUGGUGAGAG
rnacentral:rRNA from 1 species